AAUAUUGCCGCUCGCAGGCACAAGUAAAACAACAGACAACAACAACAACAACAACUACCCAGUGUAUUCCCACCAGGUGGGGUUUGGGGAGGGUAAUAUGUAGACGAGCCUUACCCCUACCCGACAGGGCAGGGAGGCUGUUUCCAAUCGNNNNNNNNNNNNNNNNNNNNNNNNNNNNNNNNNNNNNNNNNNNNNNNNNNNNNNNNNNCCCGACAGGGCAGGGAGGCUGUUUCCAAUCGACCCUCGGCUCAUAGGGUUAGGUGAAAAACAGUAGUAAAACAAACAGAAACAAAACAAAACAGAAACAAUAUAUCAUUAGUGCAUUAAGAAAUUCCAGCAUAAAUAGCGUUAGAAAUAAUCUGAACAAAAGAAACAAAAUACCAAAAUACAAUAACAAGUAAUUGUAUCGUACAUUAAACACAUAUCAUCUAUGAAUAACCCUGCUACCCCACCCCCAACUCCGGGAGGAGCGGACGAGGAACUCUAGGUGCCCCUAUCCUACAACCCUGAUACUGGACCUCCAGGCUUUCCUAUCAAGGGUCAUGUCCUCUGAAACCUGCAUUCUAGCCAUAUCCUGCCUAAUCACCUCUCCCCAAUACUUCUUGGGCCUCCCUCUGCCGCGCCGACCGCUAGCAAUCACCAGCCAUUCGCAGCUCCUCACCGGUGCAUCGGAACUUCUCCUCCGCACAUGCCCGAACCACCUCAGCCAUGCUUCGCGCAUCUUCUCGUCCACCGGGGCCACCCCCACCUUCUCCCGAAUAAUUUCAUUCCUAAUUUUAUCUAGCCUGGUACGCCCGCACAUCCACCUAAGCAUCCUCAUCUCCGCGACCCUCAUCCUCUGAACAUGGGAAUUCUUUACGGGCCAGCACUCCGCCUCAUACAGCAUCGCAGGUCUAACCACGGCUCUAUAGAAUUUCCCCUUGAGUUUGUGUGGAACUUUCCUGUCACAUAUGACUCCUGAUGCAAGCCUCCACUUAGCCCACCCUGCUCCUAUACGAUGCGUGACGUCCCCGUCAAAUUUUGUCUUUACUUAACAUCUCAAAUUUCAUCUACUGAAGCAUAUACCACUUAUAAGAUAAUACUUUCAUAGGGGACUUUAGCGCAAUCUCAAGUGAAAUGAUACCAAACCAAGUAUUCAAACAAAAUAGAGCAAACAAACUCGAAGAAUAAGUAGUAACCAAAUAACUAAGCAGAACAAGUUAAAUAAUUCCAAACGAAGUAAACUAAUUAUAAAUUCAAGCACUUACAUAUAAUCUGGAACGCAUUCGAACUUUUACAAUCGCAACAAUUCCUAAAACGCUGGCCAGAUGACAUCCUCGAUCAGCAGGACCAAGCUUCACCGGUAACCUCAGUGUAAUUGCGAUCGGACCUCGAAACUGGCCAGAUCUCUCGUGUAAUAAGAUCUCGCUGUGGUGAGAAUGGUUGCUGAUUUCAGUUAAACGAAGAGGAAUCAGCGCUAGAAGGGUGAUCGUUUGUUCUCUACUAUGUUUGCUUCUUCCAGCGAUUUCAAGGGGUUCAAAAUGUGGGUCAAAAGGAGGGAGCUUCAGGCGGGGUCGUCUUUGUUGCUGUAUAUGAUUAUGGUCGAUAAAAGAGCAGGGGUCGUUUGGAGGAGACGACACACAGGCAGGGGUAACGCCGACAAGAAGGGCUUCGAUGGGUUCUUCAGCAAGGAAUGAUCUUCAUGGAUCCUUUCUCGAAAAAACUGCACCGCCUUUUCGAUUUCCAGGCGUGUCUCCGCGUAGAUUGUGUGUACUGUGUGUAUUGUCUGUAUAUGUGUGUUUCUUCAAGACCACAAAGCCGCCUGCCUUGCUGAAGAAAAAUUUCAGGCAUCUAUAUUGUAUAGAUUGUGUGUAUUGUUCAGAAGAAUAGCAAAGUUGCGCCCCUUCAAUUUCCAGCCUCUAUCGUUUAUCUAUGUAUUUUGUUUUUGUAUUUUUCAGAAGAAGCAGCCCCAGUUGCGCCCUUCAAUUUUUCUGCCCUCU
rnacentral:lncRNA from 1 species